AAAGGUACCGUACGCUGAAUAAAUAGGCGUACGGAGCUAACCAGGACGAACUGAAACAUCUCAGUAGCUUGAGGAACAGACAUCAACCGAGAUUCCGAAAGUAGUGGCGAGCGAAAUCGGAAGAGCCUGCGCGUUUUAAUAUUCCUCCUAUCGGAAUCAUAUGGAAAGAUGAACCAUAGCGGGUGAUAGUCCCGUACGGAAAAGGCGGAGUAUAGAACUAGGCGCGCGAAAAGUAGGGCGGGACACGUGAAAUCCUGUCUGAAGAAGGGGGGACCAUCCUCCAAGGCUAAAUACUCGUAAUCGACCGAUAGUGAACUAGUACCGUGAGGGAAAGGCGAAAAGAACCCCGGGAGGGGAGUGAAAUAGAUCCUGAAACCGCGUGCAUACAAAAAGUCGGAGCUCGAAAGAGUGACGGCGUACCUUUUGUAUAAUGGGUCAGCGACUUACAUUCAGUGGCAAGCUUAACCGAUUA
rnacentral:rRNA from 1 species